CGGGGGUGAAACACUCCGCAUCUGCCGUUCCCACGGUGGUCGUCCUCGUCGUCCAACCCUGCGCGCCCGACGAGGACCGCGGCAUCCGCACCUUCACCAAGCAGUCCGCGGCGGACAAGCGCCCCAGCUAUGGGCACCGCCCACGAGCUCUGCGCCGGACGGUCCGGUCAAGGAGCUUUGCAAGCAAAGAUACAAAUUCUGACCAGUUGGAGUUGAACAACAAUAAUCAACAACAUGACUCAGGGAAUGACAGCAUGACUGACCAGCAGGAGCAAACAUCUCGUGGCAUUUGUUCACAAGCUACGUAAACUAUAGUUGAUUUGACAGAAAGUGAUGCAUCAGACGGCAUGUUGCUUGAUGGCUUGAGAACAAUCGUAA
rnacentral:rRNA from 1 species